UACGUAGGGGGCCAGCGUUGUCCGGAUUCAUUGGGCGUAAAGAGCGUGUAGGCGGCUUGGUAGGUCCGCUGUGAAAACUCGAGGCUCAACCUCGAGAUGUCGGCGGAAACCACUUGGCUAGAGUCCGGAAGAGGAGAGUGGAAUUCCCGGUGUAGCGGUGAAAUGCGCAGAUAUCGGGAAGAACACCUAUGGCGAAGGCAGCUCUCUGGGACGGUACUGACGCUGAGACGCGAAAGCGUGGGGAGCGAACAGG
rnacentral:rRNA from 1 species